rnacentral:rRNA from 1 species
UACGUAGGGUGCGAGCGUUGUCCGGAAUUAUUGGGCGUAAAGAGCUUGUAGGCGGUCUGUCGCGUCUGCUGUGAAAAUCCGGGGCUCAACCCCGGACUUGCAGUGGGUACGGGCAGACUAGAGUGUGGUAGGGGAGACUGGAAUUCCAGGUGUAACGGUGAAAUGCGCAGAUAUCAGGAGGAACACCGGUGGCGAAGGCGCCACUCUGGGCCGAAACUGACGCUGAGGAGCGAAAGCGUGGGUAGCAAACAGG